UCGUUCUGCCACGUGGAUCAAGAACUUCAUUUCCACACACCCUACUGCUCAGCACAAUUUGAGCUGUUUUCUCUCACGUACCUGAACUCUGAUUUGGACUCAGGCCAGGCAAGUUUAAGAACCAAAGUGCCAAAAUCCUCUGCGCAUGUUCUAUGUGGACAUGUGCUCCCUCUCGGAAGUCCUCCGGGGAGAUGAGUGGUGCUAUGCUGGGGACGCCACACAGUGCGGCCCGCGCCCUCUGGCAGUUUUCCUUACCCAAGUCUGCACCACGUGCCUGUGGUUUCUUUACGAAAGCUUAGUCAUUGCUAGUUAUUCUAAAAUUUCUGUCGCUAUAGUAAAUGAGACCUCUUUUUCUGUUGCA